rnacentral:rRNA from 1 species
GGGGUCGAAAGCAGCGAUGCGGUGCGGGACGGGCAUGCGUCCCAUUAGCUAGUUGGCGGGGCGACGGCCCACCAAGGCUACGAUGGGUGGGGGAUCUGAGAGGACGGUCCCCCACACUGGUACUGAGACACGGACCAGACUCCUACGGGAGGCAGCAGUAAGGAAUAUUGGGCAAUGGGGGGAACCCUGACCCAGCCAUGCCGCGUGAGGGAAGUAGGCCCUACGGGUCGUGAACCUCUUUUGUCCGGGGACAAAGGCGGCGUCGGGAACGCCGCUUGCGGGUACCGGACGAAUAAGCAUCGGCUAACUCCGUGCCAGCAGCCGCGGUAAUACGGAGGAUGCGAGCGUUAUCCGGAUUCAUUGGGUUUAAAGGGUGCGCAGGCGGCGCGGUAAGUCAGCGGUGAAAGUCAGGGGCCCAACCCCGGAAGUGCCGUUGAUACUGCCGUGCUUGAAUGCGGUCGAGGCGGGCGGAAUGUGGUGUGUAGCGGUGAAAUGCAUAGAUAUGCCACAGAACGCCGAUAGCGGAGGCAGCUCGCCAGGCCUGCAUUGACGCUCGGGCACGAAAGCGUGGGGAUCGAAC